AUUGAACGCUGGCGGCAGGCCUAACACAUGCAAGUCGAGCGGAUGACGGGAGCUUGCUCCUUGAUUCAGCGGCGGACGGGUGAGUAAUGCCUAGGAAUCUGCCUGGUAGUGGGGGACAACGUUUCGAAAGGAACGCUAAUACCGCAUACGUCCUACGGGAGAAAGCAGGGGACCUUCGGGCCUUGCGCUAUCAGAUGAGCCUAGGUCGGAUUAGCUAGUAGGUGAGGUAAUGGCUCACCUAGGCGACGAUCCGUAACUGGUCUGAGAGGAUGAUCAGUCACACUGGAACAGAGACACGGUCCAGACUCCUACGGGAGGCAGCAGUGGGGAAUAUUGGAAAAUGGGCGAAAGCCUGAUCCAGCCAUGCCGCGUGUGUGAAGAAGGUCUUCGGAUUGUAAAGCACUUUAAGUUGGGAGGAAGGGCAGUAAGUUAAUACCUUGCUGUUUUGACGUUACCGACAGAAUAAGCACCGGCUAACUACGUGCCAGCCGCCGCGGUAAUAC
rnacentral:rRNA from 1 species